UCGUGCCAGCAGCAGCGGUAAUACGAGUGCCCCAAGCGUUACCCGGAUUUAUUGGGCGUAAAGCGUGUGCAGGCGGUUUAUUAAGUCAAUGGUCAAAUCCUCCGGCUCAACCGGAGAACUGCCGUUGAUACUGAUAGACUAGAGGCUGGAAGAGGCAAGCGGAAUUGCUGGUGUAGGGGUCAAAUCCGUUAAUAUCAGCAGGAACACCAAAUGCGAAGGCAGCUUGCUAGGACAGACCUGACGCUAAUACACGAAAGCGUGGGGAGCGAAGCGGAUUAGAUACCCGCGUAGUCCACGCCGUAAACGAUGGAUACUAGACAUUGGGAGUUUCGACCCUCUCAGUGUCGUUGACAAAAGCUAACGCGUUAAGUAUCCCGCCUGGGGAGUACGGCCGCAAGGCUAAAACUCAAAGGAAUUGACGGGGACUCGCACAAGCGGUGGAGCACGUGGUUUAAUUCGACGCUAAGCGAAAAACCUUACCAAGGCUUGACAUAUAGCUGCACGCCUCCAGAAAUGGAGGAAGCUUUCGAAGGUGCUAUACAGAUGCUGCAUGGUUGCCGUCAGCUCGUGUCGUGAGAUGUACGGUUAAGUCCGGAAACGAGCGCAACCCCUAUCCUAAUUUGUACUUUAUUAGGAAACUGCCUCGGUCAACGAGGAGGAAGGUGGGGACGACGUCAAAUCAGCAUGGCUCUUACGCCUUGGGCUACACACAUGCUACAAUGGCCAAUACAGGGGGUUGCCAAAUCGCAAGAUGGAGCUAAUCCCGUCAAAGUUGGUCUCAGUUCGGUUUGUGGUCUGCAACUCGACCACA
rnacentral:rRNA from 1 species